rnacentral:rRNA from 1 species
GACGUAGGGCGCGAGCGUUUGUCCGGAUUUAUUGGGCGUAAAGAGCUCGUAGGCGGCUUGUUGCGUCGACCGUGAAAACCCGGGGCUCAACUUCGGGCUUGCGGUCGAUACGGGCGGGCUAGAGUUCGGUAGGGGAGACUGGAAUUCCUGGUGUAGCGGUGAAAUGCGCAGAUAUCAGGAGGAACACCGGUGGCGAAGGCGGGUCUCUGGGCAACAACUGACGCUGAGGAGCGAAAGCGUGGGGAGCGAACAGG